rnacentral:lncRNA from 1 species
GACAGACCACUAAAAACAGUUCCAUAACUUGGCCUCCAUCAUCCAGCCACAUUUACAAAUCUACUAAUAUACCAUUUCAGAUAAUUUAACAAGUUGACCCACAAUGGUUACACCAAAUCUUCAUAUCAAACAAGAAGAAACAUUUGACGGGCAUGAUAUGUAUCAGAGCAGUCGAACAAACAAGACGCUAUAGAGCCAAAUCUUCAUAUCAAGCAAGAAGAAACAUUUGAUGGGCAUGAUAUGCAUCAGAGCAGUCGAAAAAACAAGACACUAUAGACAAGUUGAU